rnacentral:rRNA from 1 species
GACGUAGGAGGCGAGCGUUGUCCGGAUUCAUUGGGCGUAAAGAGCGUGUAGGCGGCCAGGUAGGUCGGUUGUGAAAACUGGAGGCUCAACCUUCAGAGGUCGACCGAAACCAUCUGGCUAGAGUCCGGGAGAGGAGAGUGGAAUUCCUGGUGUAGCGGUGAAAUGCGCAGAUAUCAGGAAGAACACCCGUGGCGAAAGCGGCUCUCUGGAACGGUACUGACGCUGAGACGCGAAAGCGUGGGGAGCGAACAGG